AUGCUGGCAGAUGUUAUUGAUAGGCCACUCUCCAUCAUCUUGGAAAGGUCGUGGAGAACAGGAGAGGUGCCUGAGGCCUGGAAGAAAGCCAAUGUCACCCCAGUCUUCCAAAAGGGCAAGAAGGAGGACCUGGGCAACUACAGGCCAGUCAGCCUCACCUCCAUCCCUGGAAAGGUGAUGGAGCAGCUCAUCCUGGAUGUCAUCUCUAAGCAUGUGGAGGAAAAGAAGGUGGUGAUCAGAAUUAGUCAGCAUGACUUCAGCAAGGGGAAAUCAUGCUUAACCAAUCUGAUAGCCUUCUCUGAUGGAAUGCCUGGCUGGGUAGCUGAGGGGAGAGCAGCGGAUGUUGUGUGCCUUGACUUCAGCAAGGCUUUGCACACUGUCUCCCAGAACAUCCUCCUCGGGCAGCUCAGGAAGUGGGGGCUAGAGGAGUGGACAGUGAGGUGGCUUGAGAAGUGGCUGAACGGCGGAGCUCUGAGGGUUGUGAUCAGUGGUGCAGAGUCUAGUUGGAGGCCUGCAGCUAGUUCAACCUUGUCCAACUUAUUCAUCAAUGAUCUGGAUGAAGGGACAGAGUGCACCCUCAGCCAGUUUGCUGAGGAUACCAAACUGGGAGGAGUGGCCGAUACACCAGAGGGCUGUGCUGCCAUUCAGAGAGACCUGGACAGGCUGGAGAGGUGGGCGGAGAGGAACCUCAUGAAGUUCAACAAAGGCACGUGCAGGGUCCUGCACCUAGGGAGGAAUAACCCCAUGCAGCAGGACAGGUUGGGGGUUGUCCUACUGGUAAGCAGCUCUGCGGAGAAGGACCUGGGAGUGCUGGUGGACACCAAGUUAAGCAUGAGGCAGCAAUGUGCCCUUGUGGCCAAGAAGGCCAAUGGUCUCCUGGGGUGCAUGAGGAAGAGUGUUGCCAGCAGGUGGAGGGAGGUGAUCCUUUCCCUCUCCUCAGCCCUGCUGAGGCCACAUCUGGAGUACUGCAUCCAGUUCUGGGCUCCCCAGUACAAGAGGGAUGUGGCACUACUGGAGCAAGUCCAGCGAAGGGCUACAAAGAUGAUGAGGGGACUGGAGCAUCUCUCUUAUGAGGAAAGGCUGAGAGAGCUGGGCCUGUUUAGCCUGGAGAAGAGAAGACCGAGGGAGGAUCUUAUCAAUGUAUACAGAUAUCUGAAGGGAGGGUGUCAAGAGGAUGGAGCCAGAUUCUUUUCAGUGGUGCCCAGCGACAGGACAAGAGGCAACGGGCACAAACUGAAACACAGACAGUUCCAUCUGAACAUGAGGAAAAACUUCUUGACUGUGAGGGUGACAGAGCACUGGAGCAGGUUGCCCAGAGAUGUUGUGGAGUCUCCUUCUCUGGAGAUAUUCAAAACUCUCCUGGACGCGAUGCUGUGCAAGGUGCUCUAG
rnacentral:lncRNA from 1 species